AGCAGCCGCGGUAAUUCCAGCUCCAAUAGCGUAUAUUAAAGUUGCUGCAGUUAAAAAGCUCGUAGUUGAAUUUCGGGACCAUCAUGUCGGUCGUGCCUCGGUACGUACUGGCAUUGUUGGUUUCUACCUUCUGACGAACCAUGAUGUCAUUUAUUUGGUGUCGUGGGAAAUCAGGACUGUUACUUUGAAAAAAUUAGAGUGUUUAAAGCAGGCUCACGCUUGAAUACAUUAGCAUGGAAUAAUGAAAUAGGACGUUUGAUUCUAUUUUGUUGGUUUCUAGGAUCGACGUAAUGAUUAAUAGGGAUAGUUGGGGGCAUUAGUAUUCAAUUGUCAGAGGUGAAAUUCUUGGAUUUAUUGAAGACUAACUACUGCGAAAGCAUUUGCCAAGGAUGUUUUCAUUAAUCAAGAACGAAAGUUAGGGGAUCGAAGACGAUCAGAUACCGUCGUAGUCUUAACUAUAAACUAUGCCGACUAGGGAUCGGAUGAUGUAAUUUUUAAUGA
rnacentral:rRNA from 1 species